rnacentral:rRNA from 1 species
UCUGUUUGAUCCUGACAGCGGUCAUACGCUUGUCUUAAAGAUUAAGCCAUGCAUGCGAUAGUAUUAGUUGGUAAUACAGCGAAACUGCGAACGGCUCAUUAUAUCUGUUAUAAUUCCCAUGAUUGUGCGUUGUGUAGACGGAUACAUGUGGCAAAUCUAGAAUCAAUACGUGCUUGGAGGCCCGACUUUUGUGGGAGGGCCGCACUUAUUAGACCUAAACCAGUAGGCUCUCGGGCCUUGUUUCGGUGAGUCAUAGUAAUUGAGCGAAUCGCAUAGCCCUCGGGCGGCGAUGAAUCAUUCAAGUUUCAGCCCCAUCAGUUGUCGACGGGAGGGUAUUGGCCUCCCGUGACCGUUACGGGUGACGGGGAAUUAGGGUUCGAGUCCGGAGAGGGAGCCUGAGAGACGGCUACCACAUCCAAGGAAGGC